rnacentral:rRNA from 1 species
AUAAUACUCCAUAGAUUAGAGACACUGGAAUGUUCUUUAGUCGAAAGUUCUGGCGCCUUAGGAUGGAUCUGCGGUCGAUUAGGUUGUUGUUGGGGUAACGGCCCAACAAGCCUGUAAUCGAUACGGGUUGUGGGAGCAAGAGCCCGGAGAUGGAAUCUGAGACACGAUUCCAGGCCCUACGGGGCGCAGCAGGCGCGAAAACUUUACAAUGCAAGAAACUGUGAUAAGGGAACUCCGAGUGCCCGUAUACGCGGGCUGUCCAGGUGUUUAAAAAUCAUCUGAAGAAAGGGCCGGGCAAGACCGGUGCCAGCCGCCGCGGUAAUACCGGCGGCUCGAGUGGUGGCCACUAUUAUUGGGCUUAAAGCGUCCGUAGCUGGACCGAUAAGUCUCUUGGGAAAUCCGCCGGCUCAACCGGCGGGCGUCUAAGGGAUACUGUUAGUCUAGGGACCGGGAGAGGUGAGAGGUACUCCGGGGGUAGGAGUGAAAUCCUGUAAUCCCCGGGGGACCACCGAUGGCGAAGGCAUCUCACCAGAACGGCUCCGACAGUGAGGGACGAAAGCUGGGGGAGCGAACCGGAUUAGAUACCCGGGUAGUCCCAGCCGUAAACUAUGCGCGUUAGGUGU